rnacentral:rRNA from 1 species
GUAGCUAAUACCGCAUAACGUCGCAAGACCAAAGAGGGGGACCUUCGGGCCUCUUGCCAUCGGAUGUGCCCAGAUGGGAUUAGCUAGUAGGUGGGGUAACGGCUCACCUAGGCGACGAUCCCUAGCUGGUCUGAGAGGAUGACCAGCCACACUGGAACUGAGACACGGUCCAGACUCCUACGGGAGGCAGCAGUGGGGAAUAUUGCACAAUGGGCGCAAGCCUGAUGCAGCCAUGCCGCGUGUAUGAAGAAGGCCUUCGGGUUGUAAAGUACUUUCAGCGGGGAGGAA